AGACUCAACUGGAUACUACCUUUGUCUUCUGUGGUGAUGAAUAUAAUAAAAUCAAAAGGCUGACAGUAAGAGCACACAGAGAGAAGCACGAGAGUUCUAAAAGCUACUUUUGCAAGCCCAGAUGUGAAAGCGUGGUGCAUAAUCUCUCCUGUUAACUUCUGUUUCUCUAAUAGAAAGGUGAAGGAAGGACAAUCCCAUUUUAUUUUAGUGGAUACAGAAGUACUACAGUUGUGCAUGAGCGUUCCUUGGGAUCUGGAAAAGGACCUUCAGAUCCCUUCAGGCUAUCCCAGUGGCCUUACUCUUGAAGAGGAGAGCGCAAGGAGCCUUCUCUUCUGCACCUAGAAUAAAAAGUGAGCACAUUCCUUCUGACUGGCAGCACCAGUGCUUUUCUGGCUGAUGAUGCAGGGACAUUGAGCUUGCUUUAAGGCAAUUCAGUAAUUUCCCUGGAACAACACACCUUCAGGAGUGGAAGAUCUGCAAUGAAAUAUACAUUGUCUAGAGAAUGCUUUAUUGCUCACUGUCUAACAACAGCCUCUCCUGUGGAAUUUGCUGAAAGUCUGCUGUUUUACAUCCAUUUACUUCAGUUUUCACUCCUGUGAAAGGGAAGAGAAGAUAAGAAGUAAUGUUAGGAGACUGGUAUCUGCUACUAUUUGUUAUCAAGGUUUUGUAUCCUAGGACAUUGUUUUCCCAUCUUAACUGGUAAUGUUCCUCAAAAACUCAAAAAAACUACCACAUCAGUAAUGAAUCUUUGCUGAUGGACAUCAGAUGUUUUUCUGGGGUUUAAAAGAGUCUAAAAGAAAUCAAAUUAUUCAAUCCUUAGAAGAGUUAACAGGUGUUCAUAUCAGAGAGGGAAUGAAAUAUUGCUUCAGGUAGGGAAAUAGUGCUGUAGUGCACCAGUAAAUCAGAAUGCUCUUGUUCUGAGCUGACUGAACUUUCUUUCAGUAGUUCAGCAUAUCUUUGUUUAUAAAUCUAAAUGCUAUUGUGUUGUAUUGUACUUUGCAGUGUAAUAAAUUGUAACAUUCAGCAUUAACUGGUCAGGCUUCAGUGAUAACAAAAGUUCAGCAGCCUGGUGGCACUCUGAUCAAUAUUGCUUUCUAUUAAUAGUAUUGUUACAAAUUGAAGUUUUAUUUAAAUUAGACAAUGCUGAGAAGCUUACAGUGGAUCAAUAAACUAAAAUACA